UGAACGCUAGCGGCAUGCUUAACACAUGCAAGUCGAACGGUAACAGGUCUAGCUUGCUAGGCGCUGACGAGUGGCGGACGGGUGAGUAACGCGUGAGAAUCUGCCCAGUAGCGGGGGACAACCUGGUGAAAACCAGGCUAAUACCGCAUACGCCCUACGGGGGAAAGGCUUCGGCCACUAUUGGAUGAGCUCGCGUCGGAUUAGCUAGUUGGUGGGGUAAAGGCCUACCAAGGCGACGAUCCGUAGCUGGUUUGAGAGAAUGAUCAGCCACACUGGGACUGAGACACGGCCCAGACUCCUACGGGAGGCAGCAGUGGGGAAUAUUGGACAAUGGGCGAAAGCCUGAUCCAGCAAUGCCGCGUGUGUGAAGAAGGCCUUAGGGUUGUAAAGCACUUUCAGCAGGGAGGAUAAUGACGUUACCUGCAGAAGAAGCACCGGCUAACUUC
rnacentral:rRNA from 1 species